rnacentral:rRNA from 1 species
AUGACCUCUCCCGAGUUCAUGGAAGGACUGGAAUUUCACGACCUGGGACUUUUUAACUUGACACUUUUGGCGAAACAAUCAUGGAGGCUACUACAGGAUCCCACAUUGCUUAGUGCUCUCAUAUCAAAGGCGGUGUACUUCCCUACCACAUCAAUUUUGGAGGUUGGACUUGGCUCCAACCUAUCACAGAUUUGGAGAGCGAUUUUGGACGGCAGGGAGGUUUUGAAACUGGGCCUAAUCUGCGGAAUUGGGGAUGGACAUUCUACCAAAAUUUGGGACUAUAAAUGGAUCCCCAAGGAACCACUAUCGAGGCCGCGACUACCUCUGGUUUCGCACCCCCCAUCUAUGGUUCAUGAACUGUUAAACCACACGGGUGCUACUUGGAAUUCAGCUCUUGUUCGGCAAGUGUUUUUUCCUAUGGACGCGGAUGACAUACUGAGCAUACCCCUUUGCAUGGGAGGAGUUCCUGAUUUUUGGUCUUGGCAAUUUGAACAGAAAGGCAACUUCACAGAUAUCGGCCUAUCGUAUGCUCGUCGACACGAAGAUUAA